rnacentral:ncRNA from 2 species
AGCUCUCUGGAGAACGCGAGUAUGCGUACCGAAGAAGAAACUUAUGAAAUACGGAAGUUAAGAAUGAUAAUUGAAGUAAAACAUAAGGAAACUUUCAGGUUCGAGGACAGAGAUGAACAA